UUUAGUGAAACCUGUUAUACAUAUAGCCGCUACAAACGUUAGCAUUUAGGUUUAUCACUUUUGCACAUUGAAACAUGAGAGGGUAUUUUUUGAUUGCUUGUGUCUGUGUGAUAUUAAUGGCCUUGUUUUGUUCAGGGCACACACUUGGGUGUUUCAGAUGUGAUCUUGGAUUUUGGAAUCUGUGCUAUACUACAAAGACGAACUGCAGUACUGAUGAGUUGUGUUAUGUAGGGAUUGGUAGAGCAGCCAGUGUCUUGGAUGUAAAGGAAAUGGGUUGCCUUGCGGCGAAGGAGUGCAACAAGACUACAGAUGUAGAGUUUUACAAUAAAACCUUAUACACCAUGAAAACAAGCUGCUGUGAUGAAGACUUCUGCAAUGGAGGCCCAGCACUUCAAUUAUCCCUUAAUACUCUUACCAUCCUUAUAAUAGCUCAGAUGAUUGCUUUAUCUUGAUAUCAUUUUCAAUUCCCAAACUGUUGUAUUUAUAGAACUACAUUGAUUAACUAAUGCCAUGUUUGUGCAAUCCACUUAUGAUGUUCAUUUUUUUUUUUUCACUGUUAAGUCACUGGUGUACUGCAUGAUUUUUAUUUUAACUAGUGGAUUUUGUAUAAGUGGAUGUGUUGAGUACAUGUAGCCCGCAUUUCAGAAGUAAAUCUAAAGUUUAAUAUACACUAGUCAUGGCAUUAAGGUCUGUACGUUUUAUAAAAUCAUAAACGCAUUCUUUCAAUCUUGCAGAUUUAUUGUAAUAAAUGUUUGCAAAC